GACGAACGCUGGCGGCGUGCUUAACACAUGCAAGUCGAACGGAAAGGCCUCAGCUUGCUGGGGUACUCGAGUGGCGAACGGGUGAGUAACACGUGGGUGAUCUGCCUUGCACUCUGGGAUAAGCUUGGGAAACUGGGUCUAAUACCGGAGAUGAACUGCCUUUAGUGUGGUGGUUGGAAAGAUUUUUCGGUGCAAGAUGAGUUCGCGGCCUAUCAGCUUGUUGGUGGGGUAAUGGCCUACCAAGGCGUCGACGGGUAGCCGGACAGUGAGGGUGUACGGCGACAUUGACACUGAGAGGCGGCCGAGACACCGACGGGUGGCAGCUGUGCGAAAGACUGAAGAAUGAGCGGCAGGCGGGUGCAGAGAGGCCGCGGAUGGGAAGACGGUCUUCUGGUUGUAGACCACUUUCGACAGUGACGAAGCUUUUUGUGACGGUACCUGAAUAGAAAGCCCCGGCUAACUACGUG
rnacentral:rRNA from 1 species